rnacentral:rRNA from 1 species
UGGGGAAUAUUGCACAAUGGGCGCAAGCCUGAUGCAGCCAUGCCGCGUGUAUGAAGAAGGCCUUCGGGUUGUAAAGUACUUUCAGCGAGGAGGAAGGCGUUGUGGUUAAUAACCGCAACGAUUGACGUUACUCGCAGAAGAAGCACCGGCUAACUCCGUGCCAGCAGCCGCGGUAAUACGGAGGGUGCAAGCGUUAAUCGGAAUUACUGGGCGUAAAGCGCACGCAGGCGGUCUGUCAAGUCGGAUGUGAAAUCCCCGGGCUCAACCUGGGAACUGCGUCCGAAACUGGCAGGCUAGAGUCUUGUAGAGGGGGGUAGAAUUCCAGGUGUAGCGGUGAAAUGCGUAGAGAUCUGGAGGAAUACCGGUGGCGAAGGCGGCCCCCUGGACAAAGACUGACGCUCAGGUGCGAAAGCGUGGGGAGCAAACA